rnacentral:lncRNA from 10 species
CGCAGGUCCGAAGAGUAGCAGCCUCUCCCAACUCCAGUCCCAGGAUCAUCUUGAGAACCCCACACUGAAGAGAGCUGCUCCUGUAGGACUUGAGUCCACAUCAGGACCACAGACACAGCCUGCAGUCUCAGAAUCCUGAUGCUGCCUUGUAAACAAGCCUGCUAGAGGGAUGUGAGAGAUACAUGGACAGAACACCUAUUUGAGCCAGUUCUCCCAGCCAGGGUCAUCUGAGACCAGCCAGUUGACUGUAGAGGUAUGAGUAUGUCCAGCCAAAGCCAGCCAAGCCUAUCCCAGAUCAGAAGAACCACCCACUUCGCCCAUAAAUUCAUGAGCAAUAAUAAAUGUGUAUUUUUUAAGCUCUGGUAUAUUUUGUUACACAGCAAUAGCUAACUGAUAUAGCAAGUCCAGGGGAAUGUAACUAUGAAGAAGGUGGUCUGUCAGUUUGACUUUAGUGAACACCAGCUGCCCCUAAAUAAUUACUCAUCUUCCACUGCAGCCCCAAGCACCAGCCAGGUUGCAACUGCCACCAACAUCUCCAUACAAAAGGACUGACCAGCCUAUGCAUAGGCUGUUUGGAACUGACUUUUUUGGGCUUUACAGGAUAUUGGUCAAAAAGGACUUUUGCUCAGGCAAAGAUGGUCUCCUCAGCAGAAGUCAGAUUAGCCAGCAGGAGCAGCUGGACCUCAAAACCAUGAUCAAAAAGAGAUGCCCUCUUUGCUCCAACAGUACAGAAGAGUAGGUCACCUAAAAAAUCAAAUCAAAUCAGAGUCCAGUAAGCAGGAAUAGACUAUGCCUGGAUGUGGACAGAAGUCUGAUCUCUUAAGAGAUUAUUUCUCCUUGCUCUGAUUCUCAAGUAUUUGAAUCUGGGACAUCUGAACACUAAAUAUCAGACCAGAGCUAGGGCUACACGGAUACAGAAUUUUGCCACUUAUAAAUGCAUUUGGGAAGGUUUUUUUUCCUAAGAAGAGCAUCCAUAGCUUUCAUAAGAUUCUCAGAAAAACUGUAACCUGAAAAACAACUGUAGAGAGAAUGCUGGAAGCAACAUUGCCUGCUGUUUAUCAAUGUUCCUACAGGUCUGACUCUGUGUAUUACUCUAUCCACAUGUUAUUGGAUGUACACAUUAUAAUUCCUAUAAGAAAAUUUAACCAUAUUAUAGGAUCUAUGUAUUUCUGUAGUUAUCUAUAUCUUAUAGGGAAUGUCACUCUACCUGUGACUUACCCUAAGUAUUUUCACUCUAAGUUGAUGCAUCUAUAUAUUACUGUAACAUAUAUAUAUUACUAUAGUUGUGUGAUACUGUAUAUUGAUACUGUAGCUGUCACUUUGUUAUGUAUCAUCCUUAGUAUAGCUAAAGGUUAUUAUAUGCAUAUGUAACUGUGGCUAAACAUUAUUGCAAUUACACUACUACAUUUGUAUGUUACUGUUUCCAUGCAACGAUUCUGUUAUUGUGUGUAGGACUCUAACGGUAUUACCGUAAAUCUGUGUUACCGUAUUUAUGUUAUUGUGUCAGGUGUUAAAGCACUUAUUACUGAAGUCAAGCUUAACUGCAACUAAAUGUUACCGUGAAUAUGCAUUUACUCCAAUAAUAAAACUGCAAUAGCUACCAUUCCUUAAGCACAUUCUAGGUGUUGGACCCUCUUCUGCUGCAUGGUUUACAUACAAUUACCUUACUAAUCAUACAAUAUGACAUUGUGCAGGUCUGUAUUAUUAUACCCAUUUUAUAGGUGAGGAAACUCAGGUGCAAGUAGGCUAAGUUACUUGCCCAAGGUCAUACCACCAGCAUGCAGCAGUGGAGGGCAGGGGAAGAACUUUGAACCCAGGUCUGUCUGACUAGCUAUUUGUGACAGCAGCUGUGUAACUCUAUAGACUGUUCUGUGUUUAGAGGCCAAGUACAGAAAAUGGCUCAUUGUUAACGAUAGGGAAGGUACUUGCUGGAUGUAGAAUAAGGUUUUUUAAACUAUCAACUUCAUUUUCUGACAUUUUUGUUGAGUUAGG